UACAGAGGGGGCAAGCGUUAUUCGGAAUUAUUGGGCGUAAAGGGCGCGUAGGCGGCUUGGCAAGUGGAUGGUGAAAUCCCUCGGCUUAACCGAGGAACUGCCAUCCAGACUGCUUAGCUUGAGACCGGGAGAGGUGAGUGGAAUUCCCAGUGUAGCGGUGAAAUGCGUAGAUAUUGGGAGGAACACCAGUGGCGAAGGCGGCUCACUGGACCGGUACUGACGCUGAGGCGCGAAAGCGUGGGGAGCAAACGGGG
rnacentral:rRNA from 1 species